GACGAACGCUGGCGGCGUGCCUAAUACAUGCAAGUUGAGCGCUUAAGGUUGGUACUUGUACCGACUGGAUGAGCAGCGAACGGGUGAGUAACGCGUGGGGAAUCUGCCUUUGAGCGGGGGACAACAUUUGGAAACGAAUGCUAAUACCGCAUAAAAACUUUAAACACAAGUUUUAAGUUUGAAAGAUGCAAUUGCAUCACUCAAAGAUGAUCCCGCGUUGUAUUAGCUAGUUGGUGAGGUAAAGUCUCACCAAGGCGAUGAUACAUAGCCGAACUGAGAGGGUGAUCGGCCACAUUGGGACUGAGACACGGCCCAAACUCCUACGGGAGGCAGCAGUAGGGAAUCUUCGGCAAUGGAAGAAAGUCUGACCGAGCAACGCCGCGUGAGUGAAGAAGGUUUUCGGAUCGUAAAACUCUGUUGGUAGAGAAGAACGUUGGUGAGAGUGGAAAGCUCAUCAAGUGACGGUAACUAAGCAGAAAGGGACGGCUAACUACGUG
rnacentral:rRNA from 1 species